rnacentral:rRNA from 1 species
UACGUAGGGUGCAAGCGUUGUCCGGAAUUAUUGGGCGUAAAGAGCUCGUAGGCGGUUUGUCGCGUCUGCUGUGAAAACCCGAGGCUCAACCUCGGGCCUGCAGUGGGUACGGGCAGACUAGAGUGCGGUAGGGGAGAUUGGAAUUCCUGGUGUAGCGGUGGAAUGCGCAGAUAUCGGGAAGAACACCCGUGGCGAAGGCGGCACUCUGGGACGGUACUGACGCUGAGACGCGAAAGCGUGGGGAGCGAACAGG